rnacentral:lncRNA from 13 species
CCUCUCUCAGGUGAGACCAUGGCCAGUAUAUUACCUAUCUCCUCUCUCUCACCUGAGACCAUGUCCAGUAUAUUACCUACCUCCUCUCUCAGGUGAGACCAUGGCCAGUAUAUUACCUAUCUCCUCUCUCUCACCUGAGACCAUGUCCAGUAUAUUACCUACCUCCUCUCUCAGGUGAGACCAUGUCCAGUAUAUUACCUAU